AUGUGGAACACCAAUGCAAAUGAGAUUUCGCUGACCCCGCCCACUGUGUAACGUAAGCGGUCCAACAUCUCAUCUGCAGCCUGUCGUCAAAACCCUGUUCCCAGGAUAAAAUAUGGGAUGACAAGAAAAAUAUUUGUAAAGAUUGUGUGUCCGGUUACUUUGGUGUCAAUUGUUCUCGCACUUGUCGAUUCCCAAGUUUUGGAGAUGACUGUCAGCAAAAAUGCUAUUGUACCCCACAGUAUUGUCAUCCGUCAAAAGGAUGCAUAUUUAACAAUGAAAAAGAAAUGGACAACAGUGUGACACAUAUGAAUUCAUCCAACAUCUUUCUCGGAAUCAUAGUCUUUCUUUUGACAUUGCUUGCCAUUUUGCAAGUCCUAAACAUCAGAUUGAAAAUACUUUGUAGACGGCCCAUGCAUCAAAGAGAUAGUAAACCGGUUUCAAUUCGAUAUCAUAGAUAUGAACUACCACCGUCUAUUCUUGUUGAUGAUUCGACGUCUUAUCUAGAUGAUGUAAGGGUCCCGGUUUUAGAGACCAACAGAAACCAUGAAAUGAUCACUUAGUUGGAAGACAUCGAUGUAAUGAGUUGGGAUGAUGAAUUUAGUAAAAAGAUAGGGUUCUUGAUGAGGUUAAAAAUAUACUGACUUUGAAAAAAAGGCACUAAUUUUUUUUGUCGGAAAUUAUGUUUACGUAAACGGUCAGCCAUACAAGAAAAUCGUUAUUUUUUAUUUAUUUUUUUUUUCUUAAACGAAAAAUGAUUAGAAACUACGUUGUUUAUAUAUUAUAAAAACUUCUUUAUGUCAUAAAAGUUACAGUCAUUUAUUGAUUAACUUUUAUAAAAUAAAAACCAAACUUAAAA